CUCAACUUCCGCGUCAGGAGCCAAUCAGCGAGCUCGCGUGGAGGUAUAGGCGCAGGGGGCUGGAACGGGGAGCUCCGCUUCCGGUGGCAGGGUCUGGGGAAGGGGCGGCAGGCGCCAUGUCGGGCCGCGAAGGUGGCAAGAAGAAGCCCCUGAAGCAGCCCAAGAAGCAAGCCAAGGAGAUGGACGAGGAAGAUAAGGCAUUCAAGCAGAAGCAGAAGGAGGAGCAGAAGAAACUCGAGGAGCUAAAAGCAAAGGCCGCGGGGAAAGGCCCCCUGGCCACUGGUGGAAUUAAGAAAUCUGGCAAAAAGUAAGCUGUUCCCUUGCGCCUGAGGCAGUGAUGACCCUUA